rnacentral:rRNA from 1 species
GAUGAACGCUGGCGGCGUGCCUAAUACAUGCAAGUCGAGCGAACAGACGAGGAGCUUGCUCCUCUGACGUUAGCGGCGGACGGGUGAGUAACACGUGGAUAACCUACCUAUAAGACUGGGAUAACUUCGGGAAACCGGAGCUAAUACCGGAUAAUAUAUUGAACCGCAUGGUUCAAUAGUGAAAGACGGUUUUGCUUUCACUUAUAGAUAGAUCCGCGCCGCAUUAGCUAGUUGGUAAGGUAACGGCUUACCAAGGCAACGAUGCGUAGCCGACCUGAAAGGGUGAUCGGCCACCUGGGAACUGAGACACGGCCCCGACUCCGACGGGAGGCAGCAGUAGGGAAUCUUCCGCAAUGGGCGAAAGCCUGACGGAGCAACGCCGCGUGAGUGAUGAAGGUCUUCGGAUCGGUAAAUGCUGUUAUUAGGGAAGAACAAAUGUUUUAGUAACGAGGCACGUCUUGACGGUACCUAAUCAGAAAGCCACGGCUAACUACGUG